GAUGAACGCUGGCGGCGUGCCUAAUACAUGCAAGUCGAGCGAACGGACGAGAAGCUUGCUUCUCUGAUGUUAGCGGCGGACGGGUGAGUAACACGUGGAUAACCUACCUAUAAGACUGGGAUAACUUCGGGAAACCGGAGCUAAUACCGGAUAAUAUUUUGAACCGCAUGGUUCAAAAGUGAAAGACGGUCUUGCUGUCACUUAUAGAUGGAUCCGCGCUGCAUUAGCUAGUUGGUAAGGUAACGGCUUACCAAGGCAACGAUGCAUAGCCGACCUGAGAGGGUGAUCGGCCACACUGGAAGUGAGACACGGUCCAGACUCCUACGGGAGGCAGCAGUAGGGAAUCUUCCGAAAUGGGCGAAAGCCUGACGGAGCAACGCCGCGUGAGUGAUGAAGGUCUUCGGAUCGUAAAACUCUGUUAUUAGGGAAGAACAUAUGUGUAAGUAACUGUGCACAUCUUGACGGUACCUAAUCAGAAAGCCACGGCUAACUACGUG
rnacentral:rRNA from 1 species